rnacentral:sRNA from 1 species
AUACACCAAAAUGAAGACUGCCACCAACAUCUACAUUUUCAACCUUGCUCUGGCAGAUGCCUUAGCCACCAGUACCCUGCCCUUCCAGAGUGUGAAUUACCUAAUGGGAACAUGGCCAUUUGGAACCAUCCUUUGCAAGAUAGUGAUCUCCAUAGAUUACUAUAACAUGUUCACCAGCAUAUUCACCCUCUGCACCAUGAGUGUUGAUCGAUACAUUGCAGUCUGCCACCCUGUCAAGGCCUUAGAUUUCCGUACUCCCCGAAAUGCCAAAAUUAUCAAUGUCUGCAACUGGAUCCUCUCUUCAGCCAUUGGUCUUCCUGUAAUGUUCAUGGCUACAACAAAAUACAGGCAUGGUUCCAUAGAUUGUACACUAACAUUCUCUCAUCCAACCUGGUACUGGGAAAACCUGCUGAAGAUCUGUGUUUUCAUCUUCGCCUUCAUCAUGCCCGUGCUCAUCAUUACCGUGUGCUAUGGACUGAUGAUCUUGCGCCUCAAGAGUGUCCGCAUGCUCUCUGGCUCCAAAGAAAAGGACAGGAAUCUUCGAAGGAUCACCAGGAUGGUGCUGGUGGUGGUGGCUGUGUUCAUCGUCUGCUGGACUCCCAUUCACAUUUAUGUCAUCAUUAAAGCCUUGGUUACAAUCCCAGAAACUACGUUCCAGACUGUUUCCUGGCACUUCUGCAUUGCUCUAGGUUACACAAACAGCUGCCUCAACCCAGUCCUUUAUGCAUUUCUGGAUGAAAACUUCAAACGAUGCUUCAGAGAGUUCUGUAUCCCAACCUCUUCCAACAUUGAGCAACAAAACUCCACUCGAAUUCGUCAGAACACUAGAGACCACCCCUCCACGGCCAAUACGGUGGAUAGAACUAAUCAUCAGAAUUAUUAUAUAAUUCAUAGAUGUCGCUGCAAUACCCCUCUUAUUUCUCAAAAGCCAGUCUUGCUCUGGUUCUGUGAUUAAAGAGAGAGGGUGAGUGCCUUGCCCACUGUGGUCAUGGAUGCAAGAUAUUCACAGAAAAUUAGCAUCAU